UUAAUACAUGCAUGUUGAACGGAAUAUUUUAGUUCGCUAAAAUAUUUAGUAGCAAAUGGGUGAGUAACACGUACCUAACCUACCUUUUGGACUGGGAUAACCAUUGGAAACAGUGGCUAAUACCGGAUAUGAUAAAAAUUUGCAUGAAUUUUUAUUCAAAGGAGCUUUCAAGCUUCACCAAGAAAUGGGGGUGCGCAACAUUAGUUAGUUGGUAGGGUAAAAGCCUACCAAGACGAUGAUGUUUAGCGGGGCCAAGAGGUUGUACCGCCACACUGGGAUUGAGAUACGGCCCAGACUCCUACGGGAGGCAGCAGUAAGGAAUAUUCCACAAUAAGCGAAAGCUUGAUGGAGCGACACAGCGUGCAGGAUGAAGUCUUUCGGGAUGUAAACUGCUGUUGUAAGGGAAGAAAAAACUAGAUAGGAAAUGCUCUAGUCUUGACGGUACCUUAUUAGAAAGCGACGGCAAACUAUGUGCCAGCAGCCGCGGUAAUACAUAGGUCGCAAGCGUUAUCCGGAAUUAUUGGGCGUAAAGCGUCCGUAGGUUUUUUGUUAAGUUUAAAGUUAAAUGCUAAAGCUCAACUUUAGUCCGCUUUAGAUACUGGCAAAAUAGAAUUAUGAAGAGGUUAGCGGAAUUCCUAGUGGAGUGGUGGAAUACGUAGAUAUUAGGAAGAACACCAAUAGGCGAAGGCAGCUAACUGGUCAUAUAUUGACACUAAGGACGAAAGCGUGG
rnacentral:rRNA from 2 species